rnacentral:rRNA from 1 species
AUUGAACGCUGGCGGCAGGCCUAACACAUGCAAGUCGAACGAGUGGCGGACGGGUGAGUAAUGUCUGGGAAACUGCCCGAUGGAGGGGGAUAACUACUGGAAACGGUAGCUAAUACCGCAUACCAUCGGAUGUGCCCAGAUGGGAUUAGCUAGUUGGUGGGGUAAAGGCCUACCAAGGCGACGAUCCGUAACUGGUCUGAGAGGAUGAUCAGGAACACUGGAACGGAGAAACGGUCCAGAGUCCUACGGGAGGCAGCAGUGGGGAAUAUUGGACGAUGGGCGCAAGCCUGAUCCAGCCAUGCCGCGUGGGUGAAGAAGGCCUUCGGAGUGUAAAGUACUUUAAGUUGGGAGGCGUUACCAACAGAAUAAGCACCGGCUAACUCCGUGCCAGCAGCCGCGGUAAUUC